GGAGAGGGAAUUGAAGGUGGUGUCAUUGUGUGAAGGAAAAUUAAGGUUUAGAAGAAAACUCUCUUUUAAAAGGCAUCUAACAUAAAAAAGAUUAAUAAGUAAAAUGGGGUGAUUGUUUUGUCAAUGCUAAAGAUAAUUAAUUCGGUGUUUUCAUUCAUUCAGUGUUUUCAUUGGCGUCAAAAAAAUACAAAAAAUUCAAGCGUCAGUCAAAUAGUAAUCCCCCACCUACGUUGCCCACUCCUAACCCACUCCAAUUAGCUUUUGACCAUAUGCUCCUCCAUCGCAUCUCUAUUUCUUCAGCCUUCUCCUCCUCCGCAACUGCCAUGGCGCGGCCUAUUUCUCAGGCCACCUCUUUCCCCUUUCUCUCCGUCGUCUCUCGUCAGUCUCCUUCCGGGCUUCUCUUUUCACCGACACCGCACGGCUUUGGCUCCUCCUCGUUGUUCAACUCCUUGCUCUUCACGACCAGAUGCUUCCG
rnacentral:lncRNA from 1 species